GCAGUAGUGAAGGAAUAUUUACCAGAAAAUAGGUUUUUCAGUUUGAGAAAAUGUCGCAAGCCAGAGAGCAGUUUGGACUAGUCCCAAGGAGCAAAGUUCCUCAUUGCCUGGAUGGAGACUGAGAAAAGACGAUUUUUUCUUGUGUUUCUGGGCAUUACUCCCAGACUCCCCUAAUUUUUGAAAUCGAGCUUCUGGGAACACUAAGUGCACACAUGUCUCCCCAAUCCCCAACACUCAUGUGCACACACCCAUUCCAUGGAACUCAACCACACCCAGCCUUGUGAGCAAAAUCUGAAAGUGGGAGGCGACACGGAGAAAUGCGCAGUAGAACCACAUCAGAACAGUUUUUAGUAUGGGUUUUGUGCCACUGAAAAACAGCGCAGGAGAGCUGUCCUUACAAGAGAGAUGCUGGAGAUAUUUCUGGUGCAUUGAUUUGGAAAUCAUCAAGUAGAAUCCUAAAUGCCAAGGCCUGAAAACCUGUCUCCACUGUUCUUUCCUUCCCUUUUAAGGCUGGCAGAACUGCAAGCUGGGAUAACACCAAGGUUGCAAUUGAUAGAAGAAUCAAAUUUCCUUGGAGAAGACAAAAUGUAUAUGAAGUGCCUCCUGCAGAGCCAGGGAUGUCAUAGGUGCUCAGUAAAUAGUCCAUUUCUCAAAUCAGUUGGAAUCAGUAAGAAUGGAAGAAUGAUUGAAAGAUUUCUCCUGCACCUCCCUCACCCCCAAUAAUGCCAACACAUUUGAACUGUGAUUGUGGGCAAUUCAGAGACAUGGAUAAAUUUUUAAAAGGUGCCCAAUCUGGUGAGAUUUGCCAAGCCUACACAAGAGUAAUGAGAGACAUCAUAAGACAGUGUUAUUUGGGUUUGUGUAUUUGAAUAAUCAGGACAUUUCUAAGUGGAGAAGGAGUAGCAUUCUAGACAGAAAGGACC
rnacentral:lncRNA from 1 species